AGCGAACGCUGGCGGCAGGCUUAACACAUGCAAGUCGAGCGGGCAUCCUUGUGGUGUCCGCGGCAGACGGGUGAGUAACGCGUGGGAACGUGCCCUUCGGUUCGGAAUAACUCAGGGAAACUUGAGCUAAUACCGGAUACGUGCGAGAGCAGAAAGGUUUAUCUGCCGAAGGAUCGGCCCGCGUCUGAUUAGCUAGUUGGUGAGGUUAUGGCUCACCAAGGCGACGAUCAGUAGCUGGUCUGAGAGGAUGAUCAGCCACACUGGGACUGAGACACGGCCCAGACUCCUACGGGAGGCAGCAGUGGGGAAUAUUGGACAAUGGGGGCAACCCUGAUCCAGCCAUGCCGCGUGAGUGAUGACGGCCUUAGGGUUGUAAAGCUCUUUUCUCCGGGACGAUAAUGAUGGUACCGGAGGAAUAAGCCCCGGCUAACUUCGUG
rnacentral:rRNA from 1 species